ACAUCUCCUGACCCAGCAGACUUUUUUCCUAAUGUGUCUUUAUGUGCUCUAGCUCUGUAUAUUUGGCCCAGUGAAGCAACUGUGUCUACAAGCAUGUGGAGCAGACUGAGACAGACUGGACAUAGUUCUAUCCAUGAAGGAACAAGGGCUGCAUCCCAUAUGGCAUACUGAAAGAAAACUGGGCUGUGGAGAUGUCUUGGCAUCGUGUUUGGUGUUGGGCAUUAUAAGCUGAAAGCAAAAGAGCAAAUUGAUUCCUGCAUUCCUCCCAAAUGCUUGCUGCAUUGUGGGAACAUACGACACACCACAGAGUUCAGGGCUCUGCUGUAUUUACG